UACGUAGGCAGCAAGCGUUGUUCGGAAUGACUGGGCGUAAAGAGGGUGUAGGCGGUGCUCCAAGUCUGGUGUGAAAUCUCCCGGCUUAACUGGGAGGGUGCAUUAGAAACUGGAAUGCUAGAGGAUGGGAGAGGUAAGCGGAAUUCCUGGUGUAGCGGUGAAAUGCGUAGAUAUCAGGAGGAACACCUGUGGUGUAGACAGCUUACUGGACCAUUUCUGACGCUGAGACACGAAAGCGUGGGUAGCAAACAGG
rnacentral:rRNA from 1 species